AAAAUAUAAAAUUAUUCCAUUUCUCUCUCUUUAGAAAAUUAUUACAGUCACCACAAUAAACUUUCUUCUUCUUCAAUUGUCUCAUUCAUCCAUUAAACUAAUUUCUUCUCCUCACUUUCUUUUUCUCCCUCUCUUAAGCCAAUAAUUAUUACAACCAAAUCAAUGUCUUCUUCAAUCUUGAGCUCCCAAUCCAUGGCUAUGGCUUUCGCCGGCACUGUCAUCGUCGUUCUUUCUUUCUACCUUCAUAAAUCCCACCCCUCAAUUUCUUCCGGUAAGCAAAUUCAAUUAAUUCCAUUUUUCAUAAAGAAAAACAAAACAAGAAAUCUAUUUUUAUUUUUAUUUUUUUUGGGUUUUCUUUUCUUCAAGUGAUGAAGAAGAAAGAGAAGGAGAAGAAGAAAAAAGGACGAAAAAAAGUUCAUUUUUCUGACGAUUUAGCCAUUUUCAGUAGUACUAAAGACUUGAAGAGAAAAAAAGACAUGAUGUUGGGUUCAUCGCCACCCUCGGGAAGAGCCCCGGCACGGCCGUUGACGACCAGCGGUGGAGGAGGCGGCGGAUUGCCGGCAAAUAGAGCGGCACUGUACAAUGGAAUCUUAAGGAAUCGUUUGGUUCAUAGAAUAGCAUAUUCUCUUUAAUUUUUCUUUUUCUUUUUCUUUUUUUUCUCUCUUGGUCAAGAAAAAAUGUACAUUGAUGUGUAAAUUCAAAUUAAAAAAUCUCCACUUGUGUAGUAAUAAUGGUACAUUUUCUCUUUGGGAUUAGAAUUUUGAAUUUUAUUUUUCAACUUUAUUUUUUAGAAAAAGGGGGGAAAAUCCUCUAUUAAAUUAGGUUGAAUCCUUGAAAUUAAGGAUGAAUACAAAAAAUUUGGUAAAACAAUAUUUUAAUUGAAAUUUUCUUCUAAUAAAAUAGAAAACCACACUUUAAUUCAAACUUUAUUUGACAAUAAGUGAUUUUGUAAAACCUAAGAAUUAAAAAACUAGUAAUAUAGUAAAAG
rnacentral:lncRNA from 1 species